rnacentral:lncRNA from 1 species
GGGACGCAGGGUUCCGGGCUGGGGCUCGGAAGCCCGGAUGUUGCUCCGGGUCCCGGGAUUUGGGGUUCCGGGCUGGGGCUGGGAGGCCUGGAUGUCGCUCCGGGUUCCAGGCUGGGACUGUGAGGCCCGGAUGUCCCUCCUUGUCCCGGGACGCAGGGUUCCGGGCUGGGGCUCGGAAGCCCGGAUGUUGCUCCGGGUCCCGGGAUUUGGGGUUCCGGGCUGGGGCUGGGAGGCCUGGAUGUCGCUCCGGGUUCCAGGCUGGGGCUGGGAGGCCCGGAUGUCCCUGCUUGUCCCGGGACGCAGGGCUCCGGGCUGGGGCUGGGAGGCCUGGAUGUCGCUCCAGGUUCCAGGCUNNNNNNNNNNNNNNNNNNNNNNNNNNNNNNNNNNNNNNNNNNNNNNNNNNNNNNNNNNNNNNNNNNNNNNNNNNNNNNNNNNNNNNNNNNNNNNNNNNNNCCCGGGACGCAGGGUUCCGGGCUGGGGCUGGGAGGCCCGGAUGUCCCUCCUUGUCCCAGGACGCAGGGUUCCGGGCUGGGGCUCAGAGGCCCGGACAUCGCUCCGGGUUCCAGGAUGAGGCUGGGAGGCCCGGAUGUCCUUGUCCCGGGACGCAGGGUUCCAGGCUGGGCCUGGGAGGCCCGGAUGUCCCUCCUUGUCUCGGGACGCAGGGUUCCGGGCUGGGCCUGGGAGGCCUGGAUGUCGCUCCGGGUUCCAGGCUGGGGCUGUGAGGCCCGGAUGUCCCUCCUUGUCUCGGGACGCAGGGUUCCGGGCUGGGCCUGGGAGGCCCGGACGUUGCUCAGGGUCCCGGGACUCAGGAUUCCCGACUGGGGAUGGAAGACCCGGAUGUCCCUGCUUGUCCCGGGACGCAGGGUUCCGGGCUGGGGCUGGGAGGCCCGGAUGUCCCUCCUUGUUCCGGAACGCAGGGUUCCGGGCUGGGGCUGGGAGGUCCGGAUGUCCUUCCUUGUCCCGGGACGCAGGGUUCCGGGCUGGGGCUGGGAGGCCCGGAUGUCCCUCCUUGUGCCCGGAAGACCCAGGUGUUCCUCCUUGUCCGGGACGUAGGCGGCCCGCAGGUGGUCACGGCUCCUGUGCAGGUGGCAGUACGGGGUGUCCCCCGGACGCCACCCCAUGUGGCAGCCACGUCUCUGCUUCCCAGGGCCGCGGGGAGAGCCCACCGUCCAUGAUCCCCCAGGGCGGGCCCCGGGCCGUGACCCUCGCGCCCUCUCCCCGCAGAGUGCGACCCGGAGGAGGGCGCGAGCUCGCGCGCCUGGCGGACGUCGCUGCUGAUGGCGCUGGGGACGCUGCUGGCCUUGCUCAGUGUCUUCCUCAUCUGCAGAAGGUGAGGCCUCCGGGGCCGCCGCGGGGGUCCCUUGUUUCUGGUGCGACCCUGAAAGUUAAUCACAGAACCGUCCUGAGCAUCAUUAGUAGCGUUUUUGCAACCGACUCUCGCUCUUGUGGCCCAGGCUGGGGUGCAGCGGCGCGAUCUCGGCUCAGUGCAGCCUCCGCCUCCCGGGUUCAAGCGAUCCUCCUGCCUCAGCCUCCCCAGUAGCUGGGAUGACAGGCGCCCAGCAACACGACCAGCUAAUUUUUGCAGUUUGAGUAGCAAUGGGGUUUUGCCAUGUUGACCAGGCUGGUCUCGAAUUCCUGGACCCAAGUGAUCCACCCGUCUCAGCCUCCCAAGGCGUAAGCCACCUCGCCCAGCCUGUUGUUAUUAUUAUUAUUAUUAUUAUUAUUAUUAUUAUUUAUUUAUUUUUUUUUUUGAGUCUUGCUCUGCCACCAGGCUGCAGUGCAAUGGCACAAUCUCGGCUCACUGCAGCCUCCGCCUCCCGGGUUCAAGCGAUCCUCCUGCCUCAGCCUCCCGAGUACCUGGGACUACAGGUGUGCAACACUGCACUCAGCUAAUUCUUGUAUUUUCAGUAGAGACGGGGUUUCACCAUGUUGGCCGGGCUGGUCUUGAACUCCUGGCCUCAAGUGAUCCCCCUGCCUCAGCCUCCCAAAGGGCUGGGAUGACAGGCGUGAGCCACCGCAUCUCGCCCCUUCAGAAUUCUUCACAAAAGACCUGGGGCCAGGUCCUGUCUGCUGUAGCUGCCGCCUACCAGGUCUGUAGAGCCAAAGCCGAGGGCUCUGGUGGGACCAGGGGUGUCCCCAGGGUGGAGGCGGCAGGGCCGGUCCUCCCCUGCCCUGCCCAGCGGACCUGACCUAGUCAGAGGGAGGAAGGCCCUGCUGUUUGGUCAGGAAGGGGCCUGGGCCAACCUCAAAGCUGUGCACUUGGGCAGGCCCGGAUCUGUCAUGCAGACUAACUCAGGGUUUUCAGUCACCA